rnacentral:rRNA from 1 species
CACGUAGGGUGCGAGCGUUGUCCGGAAUUAUUGGGCGUAAAGAGCUCGUAGGCGGUUUGUCGCGUCGGCUGUGAAAGCCCGGAGCUCAACUCCGGGUCUGCAGUCGAUACGGGCAGACUUGAGUGUUGCAGGGGAGACUGGAAUUCCUGGUGUAGCGGUGAAAUGCGCAGAUAUCAGGAGGAACACCGGUGGCGAAGGCGGGUCUCUGGGCAACAACUGACGCUGAGGAGCGAAAGCGUGGGGAGCGAACAGG